UAUAAUCCUUAUGCAGCUCAUGGUUCUGUGUAUGCAUCCCCCCCAACCAAUCCAGGACAUGCUGGGCAUACCGGAAGCUAUGGCUCAGUGUAUGGCACAAAUUAUGGGUACUAGGCAUAACACCUCCAAGUUAGUUUGGUGAUCAUUGAGGGUGUAAUGAUUUCUAACUUUGUUGGUAAAAUCAUCAAAUAAUUUUAUAAGACAUCUAUAAUGUUGUAUUUUU
rnacentral:misc_RNA from 1 species